CAUCGGAAAGUUUUGGAUGAUAAUGUGUCUGAUCCUAAAUGGCAUUUGGUAAUAGAGUUUGUUGCUGGUUUAGUUGGAGACAAGAAGAGAUCUGGCAGCAUCAGAGAUACUAAAACAAUAGAAGAUGUUGAACAACGGUUUACAUUUUGGAUCUCACAUUUAUUUUCCAAUGACGGCAAUAAAGCAAUUGGUUUUCUGGGAGUAAAGUGCUUAUACGAGUUGCAAGACAAAGAUGUCAUCAGCAAUAUAGGUGAUCAAG